rnacentral:rRNA from 1 species
CAUCGAUGGGGAUGCGUUCCAUUAGGUUGUUGGCGGGGUAACGGCCCACCAAGCCUUCGAUGGAUAGGGGUUCUGAGAGGAAGGUCCCCCACAUUGGAACUGAGACACGGUCCAAACUCCUACGGGAGGCAGCAGUGAGGAAUAUUGGUCAAUGGACGAGAGUCUGAACCAGCCAAGUAGCGUGAAGGACGAAGGUCCUACGGAUUGUAAACUUCUUUUAUAAGGGAAUAAAACCUCCCACGUGUGGGAGCUUGUAUGUACCUUAUGAAUAAGCAUCGGCUAACUCCGUGCCAGCAGCCGCGGUAAUACGGAGGAUGCGAGCGUUAUCCGGAUUUAUUGGG